GACGAACGCUGGCGGCGUGCUUAACACAUGCAAGUCGAACGGAAAGGCCCUGCUUUUGUGGGGUGCGCGAGUGGCGAACGGGUGAGUAACACGUGAGUAACCUGUCCUUGACUGUGGGAUAACUUCAGGAAACUGGGGCUAAUACCGGAUAGGAGCUCCUGCUGCAUGGUGGGGGUGGGAAAGUUUCGGUGGUUGGGGAUGGACUCGCGGCUCAUCAGCUUGUUGGAUGGGUAGUGGCUGAGCAAGGCUGUGACGGGUAGCCGGCCUGAGAGGGUAGCCGGCCCCGUUAGACCUGGGCUGCGGCCCGGCCUCCACCCGGACGCGACGGAGGGGAAUAUUACACAGUAGGCGGGAGCCUAAUCCGAUCCCGCCGCGUCCGGGAUGUCAGCCAUCCGGUUGUAAUCCACUUUCGCCUGUGACGAGACGUGAAUGACGGUACUGGGUAAAGAAGCACCGGCUAACUACGUG
rnacentral:rRNA from 1 species